AUUGAACGCUGGCGGCAUGCCUUACACAUGCAAGUCGAACGGUAACAGGUCUUCGGAUGCUGACGAGUGGCGAACGGGUGAGUAAUACAUCGGAACGUGCCUAGUAGUGGGGGAUAACUACUCGAAAGAGUGGCUAAUACCGCAUGAGAUCUACGGAUGAAAGCAGGGGAUCGCAAGACCUUGUGCUACUAGAGCGGCCGAUGGCAGAUUAGGUAGUUGGUGGGAUAAAAGCUUACCAAGCCGACGAUCUGUAGCUGGUCUGAGAGGACGAUCAGCCACACUGGGACCGUGACACGGCCCAGACUCCUACGGGAGGCAGCAGUGGGGAGUUUUGGACAAUGGUCGAAAGCCUGAUCCAGCAAUGCCGCGUGCAGGAUGAAGGCCUUCGGGUUGUAAACUGCUUUUGUACGGAACGAAAAGCCCUGGGUUAAUACCCUGGGGCCAUGACGGUACCGUAAGAAUAAGCACCGGCUAACUACGUGCCAGCCGCCGCAGUAACAC
rnacentral:rRNA from 1 species